UUGGAGGGCAAGUCUGGUGCCAGCAGCCGCGGUAAUUCCAGCUCCAAUAGCGUAUAUUAAAGUUGUUGCAGUUAAAAAGCUCGUAGUUGAACUUCGGGAUCAAUGAGUUGGUCGUGCCCUUGGUAUGAACUGGCUUUAUUGGUUCUCACCUUCUAAUGAACCAUAAUGUCAUUCAUUUGAUGUUUUGGGGAAUUAGGACUGUUACCUUGAAAAAAUUAGAGUGUUUAAAGCAGGCUCACGCUUGAAUACAUUAGCAUGGAAUAAUGAAAUAGGACAUCGCAUUCUAUUUUGUUGGUUUCUAGGAUCGAUGUAAUGAUUAAUAGGGAUAGUUGGG
rnacentral:sRNA from 1 species